UAACUCAGCCAUUUCACCCUGCAGCCCAAGACGGUUACUCACUGAAGCUAAGCAGGGCUGAGCCUGGUCAGUACCAGGAAGAGUGACCACAUGGGAAAACUAGGUUGCUGUUGGAA
rnacentral:rRNA from 1 species